GCUGACACAUCCCGGCCAAGCUCCAGCAGACCCUCCCUCCCAGACCCUCCUACUUCCUGGACAGCAUCCAUGUUGAAGGCAGCUUCAACAUGGAUGCUGUCCAGGAGGUGGGAGGGUCUGGGAGGGAGGGUCUGCUGGAGAUUGGCUGGGAUGUGUCAG
rnacentral:miRNA from 1 species